rnacentral:rRNA from 1 species
AGUGAACGCUGGCGGUAGGCCUAACACAUGCAAGUCGAACGGCAGCACAGUAAGAGCUUGCUCUUACGGGUGGCGAGUGGCGGACGGGUGAGGAAUACAUCGGAAUCUACUUUUUCGUGGGGGAUAACGUAGGGAAACUUACGCUAAUACCGCAUACGACCUACGGGUGAAAGCAGGGGAUCUUCGGACCUUGCGCGAUUGAAUGAGCCGAUGUCGGAUUAGCUAGUUGGCGGGGUAAAGGCCCACCAAGGCGACGAUCCUUAGCUGGUCUGAGAGGAUGAUCACCCACACUGUAUCUGAGACACGUUCCACACUCCUACGGGAGGCCGCAGUGGGGAAUAUUGGACAAUGGGCGCAAGCCUGAUCCAGCCAUACCGCGUGGGUGAAGAAGCCCUUCGGGUUGUAAAGCCCUUUUGUUGUUAAAGAAAAGCAGCAGGUUAAUACCCCGCUGUUCUGACGGUACCCAAAGAAUAAGCACCGGCUAACUUCGUG